CAAAAGGAACAAUCAGUGAGGGGAGAAAAUAGUUGUUCACUGAAUCACCAGCGUUCUAACUUGGCAAGAAGACAGAGCAAGCUGGGAGCUCAAAGGAUGCAUACUUUGCCGAGAAAUGUUGUCUGCAACACUGGUGUUGUCUUCAGAUAUAUUAUCACUCACGUCACUGAUGUAAGACUCAUCGUCUGAAGCCUAAAAAGGGGAAGAACACAGAAAGGAUCAGAAUUCUUGUUCAGUCUUGAAAGACUGAGCAAGUCUAUAAAGAUGGCAAAUUGAGAAUAAAAUCUUGUUCUGAUUCAUGUUUUCCCACUGCAAAUGGUUUCCAGUUCCUAAUGACUGCAAAAGAGCCGACGGUAAAAUCAUCAGACCCGUUUUCUCUUUGAGCUUUAGAUCUGAAUACCCAAAUACUGGCCAGAUAACUCCACUGAGAGGUCUGAUCAACUCACAAAGCCUCCAGUACAGAUUUGCAACCUCAAAUGACAAAAUUUUUAAUCAACUGUGUGGGAAGGAGUUUUGGCUGCUUCUCCCAAGCCGAAAGAAAGAAAGAAAGAAAGAAACAAAGAAAGAAAG